CUGUUUCCGCGGGUCGGCGUCUCCCUCGAAUCGGCAAAACACCAGGGGAACGCUCCCCCGAGUCGCGACCCCGGGCAAGUUUCCCCACGGGCGGGGCGACGAAAUCACCGCUCUGCUCCGACGUCCAGCUCUACUCGCGAGCAGGACAUCACCGCGCGUCCACCAUCUCUGGCUUGCUGUCCUCCGCGCGUCAUCUCCAUCCCUGGCUUGAGAUAUGGGUUCUUGGGAAGAGCUAGCUAG
rnacentral:misc_RNA from 1 species